GCAGCUUUCCAUUGGAAAGGCUCCCUCGGAUGUACUCAGAGGAGUCCCGGGCACAGUCCUGUGCCUGAACAGUCAGCCCAUUUACACUCCGCUGGUUUCCCUGCUUCUUGUCAUUCUUGACCAUGCCCGAAAGCUGAGUUCUAAUUGCAAGUUUUGUCAUCUCUUCUCUGCUGGGCAUUUCAGGGUUAUAAUUGAAGAUCUGGCCUUGGAUUUGAAGCCUAUAGAGCAGUUUCAGAAAUGGAGGGACAUACUCUUCUACCUGCAACUGAGUCUGAAGGAUGUGCUGACCCCAGAUGGACCUGUGAGCCACCAGGAACAACAUGCAGAGUGGCGCAGGCUGGCCAAGAGCCUCGCCCUCCAGCUCAGCCCAGAGCAGCACUGCAACAGGGAUGACGAGGAAGAAACAGAGUCCCUGGACUCCAGGUAACCGAGCAAGGUCAGGGCUGUAAGCCAGUGUGACGGGAGAGGGGUUGUGUGAAAGCCAAGACUCGGGGUCGGGAGUGGCCACAGAUUUCAGUCAGGGUGAGAAAAGCCUGCCGAUGGCCCUGGUGUCAUUCACCCUGCCAAAGGCACCAUGGCCUUCACCAAGGCCCUGUGUGUCCUCUGGGGAUUUGCAGAGGGCAUCUGUGCAGGGAGAACUAAGCAGUCUGGGGGC
rnacentral:lncRNA from 1 species